rnacentral:tRNA from 1 species
GCGCCUUUAGCUCAGCUGGUAGAGCAACUGACUCUUAAUCAGUGGGUCGCAGGUUCGAUUCCUGCAAGGCGCACUA